rnacentral:rRNA from 1 species
GUGGGGAAUAUUGCGCAAUGGGCGAAAGCCUGACGCAGCCAUGCCGCGUGUGUGAAGAAGGCCUUCGGGUUGUAAAGCACUUUCAGUGGGGAGGAAAGGGUGCUGGCUAAUAUCCAGCGCAGUUGACGCUACCCACAGAAGAAGCACCGGCUAAUUCCGUGCCAGCAGCCGCGGUAAUACGGAAGGUGCAAGCGUUAAUCGGAAUUACUGGGCGUAAAGCGCGCGUAGGCGGCUUGGUAAGUCGGGUGUGAAAGCCCCGGGCUCAACCUGGGAACUGCACUCGAUACUGCCGGGCUGGAGUACGAGAGAGGGGGGUGGAAUUCCAGGUGUAGCGGUGAAAUGCGUAGAGAUCUGGAGGAACAUCGGUGGCGAAGGCGGCCCCCUGGUUCGAUACUGACGCUGAGGUGCGAAAGCGUGGGGAGCAAACAGGAUUAGAUACCCCUGUAGUCC